rnacentral:ncRNA from 1 species
UGGAUAGAGGCGCGUCGUUUAUCAGUAACCAGCGUUAGGCUGCCAAAAAGCUUAUGACCGCUGUGCGAAAGGAAAAGACGCCGAAGCGCGGCGGAUGUUUGGCAAACCGUUUCGCUGGCUGCACGGCGAAGAGCCCUGCAUCUGUCAUCAUGCAUGUGAUGGAGUGCUAUC